rnacentral:rRNA from 1 species
GAUGAACGCUAGCGGCAGGCUUAACACAUGCAAGUCGAGGGGUAUUGGGAGCUUGCUCCCAAGAGACCGGCGCACGGGUGCGUAACGCGUAUGCAACCUACCUUGAACAGGGGGAUAGCCCAGAGAAAUUUGGAUUAAUACCCCAUGGCAUAUUUGGAUGGCAUCAUCCGAUUAUUAAAGUCACAACGGUUCAAGAUGGGCAUGCGUCCCAUUAGCUUGUUGGUAAGGAACGGCUUACCAAGGCUACGAUGGGUAGGGGUCCUGAGAGGGAGAUCCCCCANACUGGUACUGAGACACGGACCAGACUCCUACGGGAGGCAGCAGUGAGGAAUAUUGGUCAAGUGGCCGCAAAGGCUGAACCAGCCAUGCCGCGUGCAGGAUGAAGCAUCUA